AGGAUAAGAAAAACUACAAAAAUUAUAGCAGCCACAAUCCCAACCACUGUGCCAGCAGCUAUGCUGGUCGACUCUGGUGGGCUGGCCGAUGUACGUGGGGGUUCAUAGCCUGCAAGGACCACGGAGAUAGCAGAUAUAAGAGGACCAUAGACUCCCCUGUUAGGUAUAGCAUAGGUUCCUUUUCCAGCCCAAUAAAAGCGUAUCUCCAGAGUGCCGUUGGUCACUGUGGCAUUAAAAUUUUU